rnacentral:rRNA from 1 species
UACGAAGGGGGCUAGCGUUGCUCGGAAUCACUGGGCGUAAAGCGCACGUAGGCGGCUUCUUAAGUCAGGGGUGAAAUCCUGGAGCUCAACUCCAGAACUGCCUUUGAUACUGAGGAGCUCGAGUCCGGAAGAGGUGAGUGGAACUGCGAGUGUAGAGGUGAAAUUCGUAGAUAUUCGCAAGAACACCAGUGGCGAAGGCGGCUCACUGGUCCGGUACUGACGCUGAGGUGCGAAAGCUAGGGGAGCAAACAGG